GUUCGGCGCGAGUGUGCGCAGGUGCCAGUUUACGAUGGAGCCAAACGACUGCGAUCCCCGUUAUAACCCGAUGGCCAAAGCCAAACGACUUUCCAGGGUCUUUUUCUGAUACCUCCAACCCGGCCACCACUCAUCUCAGAUUCUCCCUUCUAUAACCCGUGGACCAGCUUGACCACUGUUUUUUGCUGCUGUCCUGCUCACUGGCCCUCCCUCACCCCAGCCCUCACCACCUGUAUGGAUAUUUGUCUGGUUGACACCAUUGCUUCGUACCGGACACAAAAG